rnacentral:rRNA from 1 species
CCAGAGAACUACGAGCACAAACGCUUAAAACUCUAAGGACUUGGCGGUGCCCUAAACCCACCUAGAGGAGCCUGUUCUGUAAUCGAUGAUCCACGAUCAACCCUACCGUCCCUUGCCAAGCACAGCCUACAUACCGCCGUCGCCAGCCCACCUCGAAUGAGAGCACAACAGUGGGCGCAACAGCACCCCGCUAAUAAGACAGGUCAAGGUAUAGCCUAUGGGGCGGAAGAAAUGGGCUACAUUCCCUAUACAUAGGGCAGCACGGAAAGAAGUAUGAAACUACUUCUGGAAGGAGGAUUUAGCAGUAAAGCGGGACAAUAAAGCCCGCUUUAAGCCGGCCCUAGGGCACGUACACACCGCCCGUCACC